rnacentral:rRNA from 1 species
GACAGAGGGUGCAAGCGUUAAUCGGAAUUAUUGGGCGUAAAGGGCUUGUAGGUUGCUAAGUGUGUCAAAUGUGAAAUACCCGGGCUUAACCUGGGGUCGUCGUUUGAAACUGCUUAGCUAGAGUGAGAUAGAGGAAAGCAGAAUUUCCGGUGUAGCAGUGAAAUGCGUAGGUAUCGGAAAGAAUACCAGUGGCGAAGGCGGCUUUCUGGAUCUUUACUGGCACUGAAAAGCGAAAGCGUGGGGAGCAAACAGG